UUAGACGAAUUCCAUCUUCGAGUUGGUGGUACCAUCACCUUUGGAUCUUCGAUUUGUUGGAAGAGGUAAUGACAUCUCCCCACAAGCUGAAACCCACACACGCAUUUUCUUCUUCUCUCUUCUUUGUGCAAAAUUCUCCACCCAUCAAUUUCUUUUUGAUUUCACAUGUUUUAGAGUCUCAGUUUGAAGAUUUUCCGAGGAGCAUGUUCUGUCUCCAAUUGCAGAUUUUCUCACCGUCUUUUUUUUUUUUUUUUUUUUUUUUAAUUUAUGAAGAAUGUAAGUGAAUAGACUCUUUUGCCCCUUUAAAACUCGCGUGAAAAGCACGUGCGUAAGAUUCCGGUCAAAAUGGCCGGAAAAUUCCAAUUUUGAGGCACCGUGCAACAAAAACCGAAGUUUAGGUAAGAACGUGCA
rnacentral:lncRNA from 1 species